UACGUAGGCAGCGAGCGUUGUUCGGAAUUACUGGGCGUAAAGAGUGUGUAGGCGGUGCUCUAAGUUCGGUGUGAAAUCUCCCGGCUUAACUGAGAGGGUGCGCCGGAAACUGGAGUGCUCGAGCGUGGGAGAGGAAAGCGGAAUUCCUGGUGUAGCGGUGAAAUGCGUAGAUAUCAGGAGGAACACCUGCGGUGUAGACGGCUUUCUGGACCAUUGCUGACGCUGAGACACGAAAGCGUGGGUAGCAAACAGG
rnacentral:rRNA from 1 species